rnacentral:rRNA from 1 species
GAUGAACGCUGGUGGCGUGCCUAACACAUGUAAGUCGAGCGAUUCUCUUCGGAGAAGAGCGGCGGACGGGUGAGUAACGCGUGGGUAACCUGCCCUGUACACACGGAUAACAUACCGAAAGGUAUGCUAAUACGAGAUAACAUGCUUUUAUCGCAUGGUAGAAGUAUCAAAGCUUUUGCGGUACAGGAUGGACCCGCGUCUGAUUAGCUAGUUGGUGAGGUAACGGCUCACCAAGGCGACGAUCAGUAGCCGACCUGAGAGGGUGAUCGGCCACAUUGGAACUGAGACACGGUCCAAACUCCUACGGGAGGCAGCAGUGGGGAAUAUUGCACAAUGGGCGAAAGCCUGAUGCAGCAACGCCGCGUGAGCGAUGAAGGCCUUCGGGUCGUAAAGCUCUGUCCUCAAGGAAGAUAAUGACGGUACUUGAGGAGGAAGCCCCGGCUAACUACGUG